rnacentral:rRNA from 1 species
GAUGAACGCUGGCGGCGUGCUUAACACAUGCAAGUCGAACGAAGCACUUUAUUUGAUUUCCUUCGGGACUGAUUAUUUUGUGACUGAGUGGCGGACGGGUGAGUAACGCGUGGGUAACCUGCCUUGUACAGGGGGAUAACAGUUGGAAACGGCUGCUAAUACCGCAUAAGCGCACAGCAUCGCAUGAUGCAGUGUGAAAAACUCCGGUGGUAUAAGAUGGACCCGCGUUGGAUUAGCUAGUUGGUGAGGUAACGGCCCACCAAGGCGACGAUCCAUAGCCGACCUGAGAGGGUGACCGGCCACAUUGGGACUGAGACACGGCCCAAACUCCUACGGGAGGCGGCAGUGGGGAAUAUUGCACAAUGGGCGAAAGCCUGAUGCAGCGACGCCGCGUGAGCGAAGAAGUAUUUCGGUAUGUAAAGCUCUAUCAGCAGGGAAGAUAAUGACGGUACCUGACUAAGAAGCACCGGCUAAAUACGUG